AUACGGAGGAUCCGAGCGUUAUCCGGAUUUAUUGGGUUUAAAAGGAGCGUAGGUGGAUUGUUAAGUCAGUUGUGAAGGUUUGCGGCUCAACCGUAAAAUUGCAAUUGAUACUGGCAGCCUUGAGUACAGUUGAGGUAGGCGGAAUUCGUGGUGUAGCGGUGAAAUGCUUAGAUAUCACGAAGAACUCCGAUUGCGAAGGCAGCCUACUAAACUGCCACUGACAUUGAUGCUCGAAAGUGUGGGUAUCAAACAGGAUUAGAUACCCUGGUAGUCCACACGGUAAACGAUGAAUACUCGCUGUUUGCGAUAUACAGCAAGCGGCCAAGCGAAAGCGUUAAGUAUUCCACCUGGGGAGUACGCCGGCAACGGUGAAACUCAAAUGAAUUGACGGGG
rnacentral:rRNA from 1 species